rnacentral:rRNA from 1 species
CACGUAGGGUGCGAGCGUUGUCCGGAAUUAUUGGGCGUAAAGGGCGCGUAGGCGGCCUGGCAAGUGGAAGGUGAAAUCCCUCGGCUUAACCGAGGAACUGCCCUCCAAACUGCUUGGCUUGAGUCCGGGAGAGGUGAGUGGAAUUCCCAGUGUAGCGGUGAAAUGCGUAGAUAUUGGGAGGAACACCAGUGGCGAAGGCGGCUCACUGGACCGGAACUGACGCUGAGGCGCGAAAGCGUGGGGGAGCAAAACGGGG